rnacentral:rRNA from 1 species
AUUCCAGCUCCAAUAGCGUAUAUUUAAGUUGUUGCAGUUAAAAAGCUCGUAGUUGGAUUUUGGUUAAGAGGGCGCGGUCGGCCGUUUGGUCUGUACUGCGUUGUCUUGACUUCCUGAUGAGGACAUGCUCUUGGUUAACGCUGAGACAUGGAGUCAUCGUGGUUACUUUGAAAAAAUUAGAGUGUUCAAAGCGGGCUUACGCUUGAAUAUAUUAGCAUGGAAUAACACUAUAGGACUCCUGUCCUAUCUCGUUGGUCUCGGGAUGGGAGUAAUGAUUAAGAGGUACAGUUGGGGGCAUUCGUAUUUCAUUGUCAGAGGUGAAAUUCUCAGACCAGCGGAAGACGAACCACUGCGAAAGCAUUUGCCAGGGGUGUUUUCAUUA